GACGAACGCUGGCGGCGUGCCUAAUACAUGCAAGUAGAACGCUGAAGAGAGGAGCUUGCUCUUCUUGGAUGAGUUGCGAACGGGUGAGUAACGCGUAGGUAACCUGCCUGGUAGCGGGGGAUAACUAUUGGAAACGAUAGCUAAUACCGCAUAACAUGGAUUAUCGCAUGAUAAUCCAUUGAAAGGUGCAAAUGCAUCACUACCAGAUGGACCUGCGUUGUAUUAGCUAGUUGGUGGGGUAACGGCUCACCAAGGCGACGAUACAUAGCCGACCUGAGAGGGUGAUCGGCCACACUGGGACUGAGACACGGCCCAGACUACUACGGGAGGCAGCAGUAGGGAAUCUUCGGCAAUGGACGGAAGUCUGACCGAGCAACGCCGCGUGAGUGACGAAGGUUUUCGGAUCGUAAAGCUCUGUUGUAAGAGAAGAACGAGUGUGAGAGUGGAAAGUUCACACUGUGACGGUAUCUUACCAGAAAGGGACGGCUAACUACGUG
rnacentral:rRNA from 1 species